CAUAAUCGUCGACAUGUAUAGAUUUCGAUGUUGGAUAAUUUAUUCUAGCUCGAAUUCAUGGAUUAUAUGGUAGAUUGCAAAUCUGAAUUUGGAGCAUGUGGUAAUAAAUUGAGUAGGUUAUACAUGUUGGAUUUGGAAUUUGAAUUAGGAAAAAACUUGCGAUUUGGACCUAUCACUUGUUUAAACUGCCUGAUUUAGCUCUAGGAGCCGUUAUAAAAUUGUACUGUCGCUGUAUCUUCGAGACGAGUACUCCAGAUAGUUUAGAAUACAUUUACGCUCGUGCUGGUACGCCGAGUGAAAUUUUACAGGGUCGUUGGGCUGUUUCGGACUUUUGGGCGCCGUUGGGGUUGACGGUGGGCCCGGUUCGCCGUUUUGGCGUCAAAUUGUGCCGAGGGCACGUUACUUGUUGGUUGUUAGACCAGUUAGAGUCGGUUACUUGGACUUUGGCUUGACAGAGCCUGAUUGAGCUCGACAGAGAUACGCUGCAUACUCGGUUGGGUAGCGCCCACUAGUGCCACUCCGGAGACGGACUUUGUGCUUUCGCGUUGGUGUCGCUCAUGCCGGUUGGACUUGCUCUCCACGGACCAGUUAGUGUGGAGGUAGCUGGAUAGUCGCAACUGGGCAGGAACCGGUGUAUUCACAGUCCCAGGGACGGGUAGGUUUACAGUCCCGAUUGGAUUGGGUCAGAUUUGACAUUUCCUAUAGUUGGUUAGUGUAGAGCAUGAUAGUGUAGUGAUUGAUAGCGGUAGAGUCUACUUCCUGCUUUUCUGACUAUUCUUGCUCCCUUCUGUAGACUUAGUGGGUGGACCGAUGUUGUUUUGGGCGGUACCCACUGAGGACUACUUAUUUUUACAGUAGUUCUCACGCCCAGUUGUUACCCCUGUUUUGCAGAGCCUCAGGUUUCCGCUGCUGCGCCUUCCGCGUAUCAGGAUCGAGGCAAGGGCGUUGCGAGUUAGAGCCCUACCCGCCGAGCAGAGCUAGAGGCACCCUACUGCAGGUAGUUGUUUUAUUACGAGCUUAUGUACAUAGUACUUAACUCGCCAGUGCGAGUAACUCUGUAUUUCGAUUUUUGAACUAUGUAUAUGAAGCUCAGUUUGUUUAGCUUUUGUUUACUCGAGCAGCUCUAUACUACUGAUUGUAGUAUUAUAUAUUUACAGGUACAGCUGUCGCUUCGUAUACAGGAGAAAUUUCUUUGUAAAAGGCGGAUUUGUCGGCGUGCCCGGAGAACGAGACAUCCGGAGCGUGACAGAUUAAGUUGGUAUUAGAGCUUAGCAUUAGGUCGUUGGGACCUAGAAAUCCUAAGUUUGGCAAACCUUAGGAAGGCAAGACGCGAGAGGCGUAAUUUAUUGCGAAAGUCAAUGAUUAGUUGUUCUAACUCCUCCUUGAGUGGGGUGAGUGAUUGAAGGAGUAUCUGUUUUGGCCUGAGAAAUUAUGUUGGCUGCAGACGACAUAAUUUUGGAGGAAAACAGACACUGCCUUCCAGACUUUCAUUGAUUGGGUCGAGAGUGUUGUGUUGUAUCUGACCCCGAUUUGUUCUUUUCAGCUCUGUAUAGUCGCCGAGGUCGACCGUCGUUGCAGGAGCGUGCCCAGUUGGCGCGGGAUCGUGCGGGACCUCCUGAGAGACCUGAGCAGAUGGAGCAGAGUACUCGGCAGGAGCAGGGUGACAGACCGGAGGCGAGUGCACCUCCUGUUGUGGAGCUGAGUGCACGACCUGAGGCUAGCGCACCCCCUGAUUUGAGUGCUCAGUUGGCUGCCCUGACAGAGGUGACGAGGCAGCAGGGGGAGAUGUUGCAGAGGUUGUGUGAGAGGGUGGCUCAGACAUCGAGUACAGUACCGAGAGCACCAGAGCAGGCCAUUCCGCCUCCGACUACUCCA
rnacentral:lncRNA from 1 species